rnacentral:rRNA from 1 species
UACGGGGGGGGCAAGCGUUGUUCGGAAUCACUGGGCAUAAAGCGCACGUAGGCGGUCUGUUAAGUCAGGUGUGAAAGCCCCCGGCUCAACCGGGGAACAGCAUCUGAUACUGGCAGACUCGAGGAUGGUAGGGGUGAGUGGAACUCCAGGUGGAGCGGUGAAAUGCGUAGAUAUCUGGAGGAACACCGGUGGCGAAAGCGGCUCACUGGACCAUAACUGACGCUGAGGUGCGAAAGCUAGGGUAGCAAACGGG